UACGGGGGGGGCAAGCGUUGUUCGGAAUUACUGGGCGUAAAGGGCUCGUAGGCGGACAACUAAGUCAGACGUGAAAUCCCUCGGCUUAACCGGGGAACUGCGUCCGAUACUGGAUGGCUUGAAUCCGGGAGAGGGAUGCAGAAUUCCAGGUGUAGCGGUGAAAUGCGUAGAUAUCUGGAGGAAUACCGGUGGCGAAGGCGGCAUCCUGGACCGGCAUUGACGCUGAGGUGCGAAAGCCAGGGGAGCAAACGGG
rnacentral:rRNA from 1 species